GAUGAAGAACUCAGCGAAAUGCGAUAAGUAAUGUGAAUUGCAGAAUUCAGUGAAUCAUCGAAUCUUUGAACGCACAUUGCGCCCCCUGGUAUUCCUGGGGGCAUGCCUGUCCGAGCGUCAUUACAACCCUCAAGCUCAGCUUGGUGUUGGGCCCCGCCGCCCCGGCGGGCCCUAAAGUCAGUGGCGGUGCCGUCCGGCUCCGAGCGUAGUAAUUCUUCUCGCUCUGGAGGUCCGGUCGUGUGCUCGCCAGCAACCCCCAAUUUUUUUCAGGUUGACCUCGGAUCAGGUAGGGAUACCCGCUGAACUUAAGCAUAUCAAUAAGGGAGGA
rnacentral:misc_RNA from 1 species